rnacentral:tRNA from 1 species
GGUUCCAUGGUGCAUGUAGUGGUUUAGCACUCUGGACUUUGAAUCCAGCGACCUGGGUUCGAAUCCAGGUGGGACCU